rnacentral:rRNA from 1 species
UACGUAGGGUGCGAGCGUUUGUCCGGAAUUAUUGGGCGUAAAGGGCUCGUAGGCGGUUUGUCGCGUCGGGAGUGAAAACUCAGGGCUUAACCCUGAGCCUGCUUCCGAUACGGGCAGACUAGAGGUAUGCAGGGGAGAAUGGAAUUCCUGGUGUAGCGGUGAAAUGCGCAGAUAUCAGGAGGAACACCGGUGGCGAAGGCGGUUCUCUGGGCAUUACCUGACGCUGAGGAGCGAAAGCAUGGGGAGCGAACAGG